rnacentral:hammerhead_ribozyme from 1 species
AUCCAGUUGGAAAGUUCCAAAUAGGACGAAACGCUCGUCCUGGAU